rnacentral:rRNA from 1 species
UACGUAGGGACCAAGCGUUGUUCGGAUUUACUGGGCGUAAAGGGCGCGUAGGCGGCAAAUUAAGUCAUCUGUGAAAUCUCCGGGCUUAACUCGGAAAGGUCAACUGAUACUGCAGGGCUAGAGUACAGAAGGGCAACUGGAAUUCUCGGUGUAGCGGUGAAAUGCGUAGAUAUCGAGAGGAACACCUGCGGCGAAGGCGGGUUGCUGGGCUGAUACUGACGCUGAGGCGCGAAAGCUAGGGGAGCGAACGGG